rnacentral:lncRNA from 1 species
UGAUAUUGAAAAUUAGAUCGAACUAUGGUCUUCCCCUGGGUUACUUUUCCGAUGAUCAAGAGAGUCAAAAUUUGGCUGAUAAGGAUGGGAAGAAGCUGGCUCAAGUUAAGAAAGGCUUGGUGUCUUGUCACCGUUGCUUAAUAUACCUUGGUGAUCUUGCUCGGUACAAAGGAUUGUAUGGAGAGGGAGGAGAUUCCAAGAACCGAGAGUAUGCUGCUGCUUCGGGUUACUAUUUGCAAGCAGCUUCUCUGUUGCCAGCCAGUGGAAACCCACAUCAUCAGGUUCUCUCUCUUUCUGAUGAGAUCUUUUUAUUAGCUAUGUACAGUGUUUCUGAUUAGAUUAACUCUAUGUCUCAGCUUGCUAUAAUUGCUUCUUAUUCGGCGGAUGAGUUUGCAGCAACUUAUCGUUACUUCCGGAGCUUGGCUGUGGAGAGUCCUUUUCCCACUGCCCGUGACAACUUGAUUGUUGCUUUUGAAAAGGUUAACUAACGAAUUUAUGUUUUAAAUAUCUCAGUCGCUUAGGAUAAUAGCCAUGGUCCUCUCACUUUCUUAGUACUCAAAUAUAAUGUAACUUUACCUCUUUGUACGGUUAAGCAGAAUCGUCAGAGUUAUGCCCAGUUGCUUGCGGCUUCCAAAGACUCAUCUACAAAGCCGAAUGGUAAAGGAAGAGGUAAAGGCGAAGACAAAUCAUCGGAAGAUGCGAACGUGGCUUCUGUUCCUGAGAAGGAUAAAGUAACUAGUGCAAAUGAGAUGCUUAAAGCAUUCUGCAUUAGAUUUGUACGUCUCAACGGGAUUCUUUUCACCCGAACAAGGUAUUCUCUUUAUUUCUGAUUUUAGUUUGUUCUAGAUUCUGUUACUGGCUCUCUUAUAUAAAAUAUUUACCACUUGUCUUUGUCAGCCUGGAGACAUUCUUUGAUGUUCUUGCUUCCACUAGCAUCAGUCUACGAGAGCUGAUUACUUCAAGCUUAAUGGAAGUGCUGGUUUUUGGCAAAGACACCAGUGACAGCGCACUCUUCAUUGUUAGACUCGUGACGAUUCUUAUAUUCAGCGCCCAUAACCUUAAGAAAGGGACAGACCCUAAGAAAGAGACAGAGGGUCAGUCAUAUGCGCAAAUUGUACAGCGUGUGGAGCCUGCUAGAAACUCCUUAACAGCAAGUUUCGAGUUACUUGGACACGUAAUAGAGCAGUGUGCGCAACUGCGUGAUCCUUCGUCAAGCUAUUUCUUGCCUGGUGUCUUAGUUUUUGUUGAAUGGUUGGCCUGUUGUCCUGAUAUUGCAUCGGGAAGUGAUCCGGAUGAAAGACUGGCUGCUGCGAGAAACAGCUUUUGGAACCAGUGUGUUGCCUUCUUCAAUCGACUCUUGUCGCUUGGGCCUAUGUAUAUUGAUGAUGUCGAAGAUGAGACUUGCUUCUCAAACAUGAGCAUGUAUGAUGAAAGAGAAACUGAAAACCGACUUGCUCUGUGGGAGGACUAUGAAUUAAGAGGAUUCUUGCCAUUGCUUCCAGCUCAGACUAUUCUCGAUUUCUCAAGAAAACAUUCCUUUGGAACUGAAGGGCCCAAGGAAAAGAAAGCUCGUAUUAAGAGGAUCCUAGCAGCAGGGAAAGCAUUGACCAGUGUGAUCAAGGUUGAUCAGAAUUGUGUUUAUUUUGACUCAAAGAAGAAGAAGUUUCUCGUUGGUGUUAAACCGUCCGGUGACUUACUGGAUUCUCAUUCAAACCCACCUGAAGCUGAUAAUGCUUUACAAGAAAACCAAGCAAUGAUGAACCAUAAUACGCCAGUGACGCAACGAGAUCAGCAGAUUUACUUGGAUGAGGAAGAUGAUGAAGAAGAAGAAAUUGUUUUCAAACCUCUAGUUACUGAGAAGAGGAAUGGGGCUUCUGACCAAACCUAUGUUCCUAAUGGAGGCUUGAGGAAUCCUGAUCAAGUUCCUAACGGAGGCUUCAGGAAACCUGAUCAAGUUGCUACGAUGAGAGAAGACUUAAAAUCUCUGAGUGUUUCAGAUGCAGCUUUUCAAGGAAACAUGCUUCAGCACUCAAGAGGCAAUGCAGCUGUUCAAGUGCCUGCGUCUGUUGGUUCUAACCUUCUGGGACAUCUUCUGCCGUCAACCCAGUCUCAGGGUAUGCAGUUGCAACAACCUCAGACACAAGCAGUGCAUCCUCAGCAAGCUCAAUCGCUGGCUUCUUCACGACUUCAACCACAUCAAUCACAGGUCUCACAACUUCAACCACUGCAAUCACGGACUGUGCACUUUCAACAAACUCAGGGACAGGUUUCACAUGCUGCACCGGCCCAGCCACAAUCAACUUCCCUUAGUGGUAGCAACUGGUUCCCAAAUGAAGCUGCUAGGAGCCUAUCUGGUUUCGCUCAGAUGGGUAAUGGUCUUGUGAUGAGGAACGAGAUGCAAGGAAACCAGGGAUUUUCCUAUUACCCUGCACACUCAUUGCCGAUCCACCAGUCUUUCAAUGUCAACGGUAUGGGUGGUAUGCCAUAUUCUCAGUCACGAACACCCGAAGCUGUGUUGCCACCCAAUAUCAAUGCUGUUUCAUCUGCUGGAGUUAUUGCUGAUGGCAUGGGUAUGCAGUCUUCAUUAGCGAGAAAAAAUCCAAUCGGUAGAGCCUCCAGGCAUCUCGGCCCUCCACCUGGGUUUAACCCUGUCCCCUCUAAGGUGGUAAAGGAGCCUGCACCUGGUCCGGAUAUGUCUGGCAACAAUCCACAGGUUGAUGAUUACAGCUGGUUGGAUGGAUACCAAGGCCAGCCGGUUCGGGUCUUCAGCGUCCAUCCACGAAACUCAAAUUCGAGAACCGGAAUGCAUUCAGCGAGUAACCCAGCACGUCCAUCCAAUGCGCCCAAAACAGUUUAUCCCCUUCCCCACUCGGAAUCAUCUCCUCUAUCGCCUUACCUAACCCCACAUCCUUCGCCACGUGUUCGUCGCAACAUCCAUCCGCAACCGUCGUCUCUCUCAUAAACUCUCUCUGAAGCGUAACCGCCGAAAUCCGAUCGCACGCCCCGGUGUUCAGCCGAAACGUCAGCAAUCUCUUCUCGCCGUCGCGCAGAUCGUAGAGACUAACGAAGAAGACGCCGCACUCGCCGUUACUCCAAAUGCAUUUCUGAAACACCCAUUUCGAUUCCGAUUGACUGGUUCAAAAGCAAUGUGUGGAUUCCCUAAAGAACUGUAGGAGGAGACACGCUUCAGAAAAUCUUCAUAGCGGCUUCAGAACAAUGGAGCCAUGUGGAUGUGUGAUAUAUGUUAGGUUACAUAAACUGGCACUAUCAAAUUGAGGGGUUUGAGAAGAUUAGGUCAUACCUAUUCUUCGAUCAGAAGCAGGUGAAGGCCGAUUAGCAUCCCGACUUUAGCGGGAUAUGGGCUUCUCAAAAGUGAAUCAACUUGACAGGCGGCGACUUUGUCGAAGUAAACAGUCAGAGAUCGACGAUUUGGAGCGUUUUAGGGCCACCAUAGCGAUGGUUCAAGGAUUUGGAGUCUAUAUAUAUAUAUGUAUCAAAGAGAAGUUGGAAAAUGGAUUGACAUGUAGAAGUUUGAGCAUACUCUAAACGGCAGAAGAUGAAGAAGAGGUAACAGAUGGCUAGGUAAACUUUAUGUCAAUUAAAUCAGAAUCUUUACAGUAGAGAAAUCUGAAAAGGUUGUAAACGGUGGCUGUGAUUAAUUAAUUUUGCCCGUAUUUUGAAUAAUAAUGAUAUGUAUUUUGGGCUAUAAUGAUGAGCCACGACAACACAGAAAAUCAGAAGCCCAUAACUAAGUUGGCCUGCGAAAAUUUUGUGUUGACUAACAGCAGACUGACGUGGCAAAAUGAAACUUCAUUAUUGGUUGAUUUUUAAAGUGACGUGGACACCUUUCCUGUGGAUUAUAUAUCCCUUUUAUUAUAGGAUAGAUUUUUUGUUUAGGCAAUUUUUUUCAAGAAAUUCAUAACUGAAGAAAGUAAAAAGGAAAAAUAGACGGUGAAAAAAAAAAGAAGAGGAAGUGAAAACUAUGGGAGAAAAAGAAAAGACAAAGAAACGACGUCGUCAAAGCUUAUUUUCCCUCGUUCACUAUUUUUUUUCUGUCUCGUAUAUAUACACUAAGGAAAAGUCUGACCUUGACAAAUAUACAACAUCACCGCGUCUCCUUCUCUCUCUUUUUUUUUCCUCGUUGGAAAAAAAAACCCCUAGCUUCUCCAUCUCUCACCGAUGGUCAUGGUCGCAUAGCCAUUCGCAGAUCUGGUAAAAUUGAGUUUAUAACCCUCUCUUUUCUCUUAUCCUAUUUCACAAUUUCGCUCUUGGUUGCUUUGUUUUGUGUUUUCCCCUUUUUACAAAAUUGAUGCUGAUUCUGCUUUGAUUACCCUCCUCGUUCGCAGAAUUUUUAGUCAUGAUUAUGGGUAACAUAGGGUUGGUCCUGAUUUUGGUUUUUCCUGAUUAUUUUUUUGGUAGAUUUCAACUCUAUUAAAUCGAAUUUUUUUUUGUUAUUCGUCAUUAUCUCUGGUUGAUCACUUGUACAAUCGAAUGUUCUCUGUAAAGGGUCUUGUUUUCUCUGUUCAAGGUUUUGACUUGAACUUGUUUUCUUCUUGUGUUAACACUGAUCGAAACUGCUUACGGAACUCUGAUUAAUAUCAUCUAUUGGCUCUUUAGAUGAUUGCUUUUGUUUAAGCUUCUUAUAUAUGUUUUUUUUUGUUAUAGAUAAUGACACCAGCAUAGCUUUAGCCUGAGAUUUUUAUUUAUUUAUUUCAGGUCGUUGACAAUUUUGAGACUUUGCAGAUGGAUAAAAAGACUGCUUCCUCGCCAUGGGAGCGAGCCCAAUCCAUAUUCGAUAAGGUUUCCUUCUCUUUCUUACUUUGACAACUCUGUGAAUUUACCUUUAUUAUUGUUUUUGGAGUAGUUUUUUUUACAAUGGAAGCUGUAUCAGUUCGUCUUUAGCUCAUCGUAGGGUUAUAAAGGCCGUUUUGUCUCUGUACUUGAGGCUAUGGUUUUGUAGACCUCUUUAUAGUGACAAUAUAUGCAUUCUUUGCAGACUAUUGAGUUGGAAGCCAAGCGUAGGAAGGCUGCACAGUCUCGGACCCCGACGUCUGACCCCAAUUUGUGGCAGCAAAUUCGCGAGAAUUACGAAGCUAUCGUUCUCGAAGAUCAUGCUUUCUCUGAGCAGCACACCAUUGAGUUUACACUGUGGCAGUUGCAUUACAAACGGAUUGAAGAGUACAGAUCAAACAUCAAUGCUGUCUUGGCUUCUGGUAGCUCCGGUGCGGCUCAGAAUGCAAAGGGUCCUUCUAUAUCCGAACGAGUCGCGAGGGUCAAGCUGAGGUUCAGAACUUUUCUUUCGGAAGCAACUGGGUUUUACCAUGAGAUGAUAUUGAAAAUUAGAUCGAACUAUGGUCUUCCCCUGGGUUACUUUUCCGAUGAUCAAGAGAGUCAAAAUUUGGCUGAUAAGGAUGGGAAGAAGCUGGCUCAAGUUAAGAAAGGCUUGGUGUCUUGUCACCGUUGCUUAAUAUACCUUGGUGAUCUUGCUCGGUACAAAGGAUUGUAUGGAGAGGGAGGAGAUUCCAAGAACCGAGAGUAUGCUGCUGCUUCGGGUUACUAUUUGCAAGCAGCUUCUCUGUUGCCAGCCAGUGGAAACCCAC